rnacentral:lncRNA from 1 species
UCAGUAAAGCGGAUAGUAACCAAAACUAAUAAUUAAGGUAAAAGUACGUUUCUUGAAUUAGACUUCUAAUGUAGAGUUUUCUUAUUAUGUUAGAUGUUUAUAAGUUCCGAAAGGUGGAGACAAAUGCUGGAAGCGUGCAGUAAUAAAGAUAGUCCUUUAAAGGACAAUAAAGAACUGUGAGUAGUGUUAGAUAAUUCGCCUCAUCCACCUGCAUUCAUGCAUUCACGGCUAAAUGUUAUCAUGCAUUAUUUUGUUGGAUUGCCGUAUUAUGAUGCACUAUUUGUUGAUAUUUAAAAUUGUUUGAUUACUUGUGCUAUGAAUAUACUGUGCCAUAUUUGUGUGGAAUUGGGAUGAAGUGGACCACCAUGGGUUUGUGAGGACGGUCUAUGUGAUAUGGAUCCUGAAUAUGAUGUGAUAUGGAUCCUGAAUAUGAUGUGAUAUGGAAUUUGACCGUUGGCCGGGAAAAUGGGAGAUCGGCGCCCCCGUGUGCACCUGAUGAGAUGGAUUAUAUAGAACCACAGGAUGGCCUCUUGUUGUUGCGCACCGGACAGUCUAGAUUUGAUCGCAGCCCGCAGGUGGCCUCCUGUUGUGAGCGCUUGAUGAUCUAGAUUGGAUGGAGACCACCGGGUUGCCUCCUGUU